CUGUGAUUGGUGGUGAUGCCGUUUUUUGCUCUCCAUGGAAAUUCCCCUCAAAAUUCCACUUCUUCUUCGACUCUUUCUCCACCAUUUCGAUCGUUAAUUGUUGGUGGGGGUUUGUGAAUUUGAGGCCAUUGGGAGCUUCUUAAUUGAUUUAUAUAUUUAGCGAAGUCAAAAAUGUUGUCUUGGUCAUGAGGAUGAUUAAGAAAUGAAUGGUUGCCCUUCCUUAGACUUGACGUGAUCUUGCUCCUUUACGAUGACAUUAUGUUGUCUUUUCUCUUUAGCAAUGACCAGUGUGGUGGCCGGUAAAAGUUUGUUGUGUCGAUUAUUUUUUUGGUGACAGAUAGGUAUUAGUGGCAUUUACAUGUUUGUGCU